rnacentral:other from 1 species
GAUCAUCGAAGGUGCUCGUUGACCCUUGCGAAAUUCAACCGACAAAUAACAUCCGGGAGAACAUAUUUUUAUUCCUAUGACAUGCCACUUUAGGUGGACUUCAGAAGAAUAAAAUGUGUCACCCACCUUGAGUGAGUGGCGGGUGUGAAUUUUGCAGUUAACGACAUCUUGGAUAUAA